rnacentral:rRNA from 1 species
CUCAGGACGAACGCUGGCGGCGUGCUUAACACAUGCAAGUCGAACGGAGUUGAGGAGCUUGCUCCUUAACUUAGUGGCGAACGGGUGAGUAACGCGUGAGCAACCUGCCUACAAAAGAGGGAUAACGCAUGGAAACGUGCGCUAAUACCGCAUGAAGCAACGAUGUCGCAUGGCAAUGUUGUUAAAGGGGAACCGAUUGUAGAUGGGCUCGCGUAUGAUUAGGUAGUUGGUGAGGUAACGGCUCACCAAGCCGACGAUCAUUAGCCGAACUGAGAGGUUGAACGGCCACAUUGGAACUGAGAUACGGCCCAGACUCCUACGGGAGGCAGCAGUGGGGAAUAUUGGGCAAUGGACGCAAGUCUGACCCAGCAACGCCGCGUGAAGGAAGAAGGCUUUCGGGUUGUAAACUUCUUUUAUCAGGGAAGAGUAGAAGACGGUACCUGAUGGAUAAGCCACGGCUAACUACGUG